AGAGAGAUCGACGGUCGGCUGGGCAAUGUUAGCGCUAAACCUUCAUGCGUACUCACUCUGCUGCAAGCUUUAAUAAUCUUGAUUGAUGCAGACGCCACUGCCAGCCGAUUCACACUGCAUACAUGCAUAGCUAGCUUCCUCAUCUUCAGUCAAUGAGUUUGCCUUGAUUCGGGUCUUCUGUUCUCCUGGUGAUCAAAAUCAACACCGCACCCUUCCGUUCCUAUCUUAUUUAGUAGUUCCCUUUCGUUUCUGUUCCUGUCAUAAUCAGUGUGGUAAACUGGUAAUCAGCUAGCUCGGUGGUCACCAGAGUACGUACUAUUUUAUUUACUAGUACUUUGCCUUGGAUUGUAAUGUGGAUCAGGAGAUGAACUGUAUAUUUUGUUUGUGUCAUGCAUGGCUGUGUCAUACAUGUAUUGACUGAACUUGACUGAAUGUGCAAUUUGAAUCUAGUACUUCUUCCGUUUCUGCUUUCCCCCAACCGGCCAUAAGAUUUAUCUAGGGUUUAAGCUGUUUUGUUUAGUUUGCUUGCGCUGCCUGAAAUGAUGCACCAAUUCUGUAUCUUAUCCUUGUGUUGGAUGGUGGACCUGUCAACGAGUAUUAUUGACUUGAGUGACGACAGAUGCGGUAUUGUUUAGAUGGGUGGUUUGAAUAGUUCGUCCAAAGAAAAUUGUUUAUAGAAUAGAGAUUUGGCGAAAUAUGGUGCUUGUUUAUUGCUGUGAUGGAUACAUCCAAGACAAUUAUUGCGGCUUCAUCAGUGGGGUGUAUUUUUGUUUCAUUCAAUGUCUGAUCUGAUUAUGAACAUAACCACGGGACGUAUUUAGAUGGGUGUAUUUAGUGGGGUGUAUUUAGACGGGUGUAUAUAAAAAUGAUUUGAUCUUCUCUUCCUUGGUUUCCUGAUGCGCUCCUAUUCCACAACCACAGGGACGGCACAUCGAUUGGUGAUGAGCAGGAUGGGGCCAACAAGCCUAGGAGGAGGAGCUCCAUCUGCAGCAGCUCAUGCUCAUGGAGGAACAAGUCUGAAUCGUUGCUGUUACUCUGCUGUCCUGGAGUCACCAUCCACAGCAGCCGUGGUGUGGCUGAGCCUCUGCUACGGCUACAACCUCCCUCUGGUGAGCUCCUCCCUGUUCCUUCUUCUCUGAUGUAGCUCCUGCAUGGCCUUGGCCAUGAUUUGGGUUGGAUGUGGGGCUCUACUAGUUGCUGCUAGAUGUUGUAACCAAGCAUCAACUCCUACUGGAGCUCUCUGGUGAUAAAUUCAUGCGGUUCUAGGGUCUGUCAGUAGCUGCCCAUGUGUACUUGCUUUAUAUAUAUGCUCCUAUGAUGCUCUGGUGAUAUGGGGUGGCUAAUAUCAAGAUCAUGUCGGUGUUGAUGCUUAUCUUGAGUGUCUCUGGUGGUGGUGGUGUUGACAACAGUUACACACCUAGCUUGCAACUAAUAUCAUUACUGCUAAUUUACCUCAAGUUUAUCUGAACAUGGUUGAAAUGAGCACUGCAAAUUUUGAUGUCUAAAAUCAAUUUUUACCCCAAGUCCUUAAGUAAUUAUUUUCAUUACAUCACAGUUAGCUGAGAAUAUUGACUUGAAUAUUUUAUGUAUGCCCUGAUGCAUGUACACAUACGGUUGAGCAAAUACCGAGCUGCAGUGGAACAACCUGGAGUUAGAGAACUUCAAGGACAAGAUCAACGAGGUGACCGGCGUUAUGGCGGCUGUGUACGGUGGCGACCACAAGUUCUUCGAUGUUGGCUUUCAUGUUUCUUCGUGAGCAUCAGGACAAAGAAGUCGGAGGAAGAAUAGUUCUAGCUCAUUGGAGCUAGUUCUGAGAGUAAUGAAGCCCUUUCUGCUGCUCCUAUUUGUAUGUGUGUUAUAUGAUGUAGCAGAAUCUGGCUCAUGUGAUUGUACACUUGUGGAGCUUGUUAUCUGAUUGUAAACUUGAUGCUGAUCACAUUUGUAUGUGUGUUAUAUGAUGUAACGCUUUGAUGGUUGAUAA